UGGGGAAUAUUGCACAAUUGGCUCAAGCCUUAUUCAGCCAUGCCGCUUGUUUGAAGAAUGCCUUCUGGUUGUAAAGCACUUUCAGCUGGGCGGUAGGCGAUAAGGUUAAUAACCUUGUCUAUUGACGUUACCCGCAGAAGAAGCACCGGCUAACUCCGUGCCAGCAGCCGCGGUAAUACGGUGGGUGCAAGCGUUAAUCGGAAUUACUGGGCGUAAAGCGCACGCAGGCGGUCUGUCAAGUCGGAUGUGAAAGACACGGGCUAAACCGGGGAAGUGCAUUAGAAACUGGCAGGAUAGAGUAGUGUAGAGGGGGGUAGAAUACCAGGUGUAGCGGUGAAAUGCGUAGAGAACGGGAGGAAGAACGGGGGCGAAGGCGGCACCCUGGAAGAAGACUGACGCUCAGGUGCGAAAGCGUGGGGAGCAAACAGG
rnacentral:rRNA from 1 species